rnacentral:misc_RNA from 1 species
GUAGGUGAACCUGCGGAAGGAUCAUUACCGAAGACGGAGCUUCGCUGGGCCGUGAGCCGUGCCUUCGGGCAUGGCCGGCCGGUGAGCUUCUCGUGAGGUUGCCUUGAAAAGCACCAUGCAAAGUCGAGCCAAUCUGCACAAGGCUCGCCUGCAAUCGCACCGGGGCGUUACGGUUGACUGUGUGAAUGUCGACCGGAGCCGGUUGCGGUUGCGGCUUUUAAAAAAAUUUGGUGUGUUUGUACGUGGCUAG